AACGAAAGCUGGCGGCAUGCCUAACACAUGCGAGUCGAACGAGACCUUCGGGUCUAGUGGCGCACGGGUGCGUAACGCGUGGGAACCUGCCCUUAGGUUCGGAAUAACUCCCCGAAAGGGGUGCUAAUACCGGAUAAUGUCUUCGGACCAAAGAUUUAUCGCCUUUGGAUGGGCCCGCGUUGGAUUAGCUAGUUGGUAGGGUAAAAGCCUACCAAGGCGACGAUCCAUAGCUGGUCUGAGAGGAUGAUCAGCCACACUGGGACUGAGCCACGGCCCAGACUCCUACGGGAGGCAGCAGUGGGGAAUAUUGGACAAUGGGCGAAAGCCUGAUCCAGCAAUGCCGCGUGAGUGAUGAAGGCCUUAGGGUUGUAAAGCUCUUUUACCCGGGAUGAUAAUGACAGUACCGGGAGAAUAAGCUCCGGCUAACUCCGUG
rnacentral:rRNA from 1 species